rnacentral:rRNA from 1 species
AUUGAACGCUGGCGGCAGGCCUAACACAUGCAAGUCGAACGGUAGCACAGAGAGCUUGCUCUCGGGUGACGAGUGGCGGACGGGUGAGUAAUGUCUGGGAAACUGCCCGAUGGAGGGGGAUAACUACUGGAAACGGUAGCUAAUACCGCAUAACGUCGCAAGACCAAAGAGGGGGACCUUCGGGCCUCUUGCCAUCGGAUGUGCCCAGAUGGGAUUAGCUUGUAGGUGAGGUAACGGCUCACCUAGGCGACGAUCCCUAGCUGGUCUGAGAGGAUGACCAGCCACACUGGAACUGAGACACGGUCCAGACUCCUACGGGAGGCAGCAGUGGGGAAUAUUGCACAAUGGGCGCAAGCCUGAUGCAGCCAUGCCGCGUGUAUGAAGAAGGCCUUCGGGUUGUAAAGUACUUUCAGCGGGGAGGAAGGGAGUGAGGUUAAUAACCUUAUUCAUUGACGUUACCCGCAGAAGAAGAACCGGCUAACUCCGUGCCAGCAGCCGCGGUAAUACGGAGGGUGCAAGCCGUAAUCUGAAUUACUGGGCGUAAAGCGCACGCAGGCGGUCUGUCAGUCGGAUGUGAAAUCCCCGGGCUCAACCUGGGAACUGCAUUCGAAACUGGCAGGCUGGAGUCUUGUAGAGGGGGGUAGAAUUCCAGGUGUAGCGGUGAAAUGCGUAGAGAUCUGGAGGAAUACCGGUGGCGAAGGCGGCCCCCUGGACAAAGACUGACGCUCAGGUGCGAAAGCGUGGGGAGCAAACAGGAUUAGAUACCCUGGUAGUCCACGCUGUAAACGAUGUCGACUUGGAGGUUGUUCCCUUGAGGAGUGGCUUCCGGAGCUAACGCGUUAAGUCGACCGCCUGGGGAGUACGGCCGCAAGGUUAAAACUCAAAUGAAUUGACGGGGGCCCGCACAAGCGGUGGAGCAUGUGGUUUAAUUCGAUGCAACGCGAAGAACCUUACCUACUCUUGACAUCCACGGAAUUUGGCAGAGAUGCCUUAGUGCCUUCGGGAACCGUGAGACAGGUGCUGCAUGGCUGUCGUCAGCUCGUGUUGUGAAAUGUUGGGUUAAGUCCCGCAACGAGCGCAACCCUUAUCCUUUGUUGCCAGCGAUUCGGUCGGGAACUCAAAGGAGACUGCCAGUGAUAAACUGGAGGAAGGUGGGGAUGACGUCAAGUCAUCAUGGCCCUUACGAGUAGGGCUACACACGUGCUACAAUGGCAUAUACAAAGAGAAGCGACCUCGCGAGAGCAAGCGGACCUCAUAAAGUAUGUCGUAGUCCGGAUUGGAGUCUGCAACUCGACUCCAUGAAGUCGGAAUCGCUAGUAAUCGUGGAUCAGAAUGCCACGGUGAAUACGUUCCCGGGCCU